rnacentral:rRNA from 1 species
UACGUAGGGUGCAAGCGUUAAUCGGAAUUACUGGGCGUAAAGCGUGCGCAGGCGGUGUUGUAAGACAGGGGUGAAAUCCCCGGGCUUAACCUGGGAACUGCAUUUGAGACUGCAUCGCUGGAGUGCGGUAGAGGGGGAUGGAAUUCCGCGUGUAGCAGUGAAAUGCGUAGAUAUGCGGAGGAACACCGAUGGCGAAGGCAAUCCCCUGGGCCUGCACUGACGCUCAGGCACGAAAGCGUGGGGAGCAAACAGG